rnacentral:rRNA from 1 species
AGAGUUUGAUCCUGGCUCAGGACGAACGCUGGCGGCGUGCUCAACACAUGCAAGUCGAGCGGUAAGGCCCUUUCGGGGGUACACGAGCGGCGAACGGGUGAGUAACACGUGGGUGACCUGCCCUCAGCUCUGGGAUAAGCCUGGGAAACUGGGUCUAAUACCGGAUAUUCUCCAGUCCUCGCAUGGGGGUUAGGUGGAAAGUUUUUAUCGGCUGGGGAUGGGCCCGCGGCCUAUCAGCUUGUUGGUGGGGUGAUGGCCUACCAAGGCGACGACGGGUAGCCGGCCUGAGAGGGCGACCGGCCACACUGGGACUGAGACACGGCCCAGGACUCCUACAGGAGGCAGCAGUGGGGAAUAUUGCGCAAUGGGCGGAAGCCUGACGCAGCGACGCCGCGUGGGGGAUGACAUGCCUUCGGGUUGUAAACCUCUUUCGACCUUGACGAAGGCCUUCGGGUUUGACGGUAGGGGUAGAAGAAGGACCGGCCAACUACGUGCCAGCAGCCGCGGUAAUACGUAGGGUGCGAGCGUAUGUGCGGAAUGAUCGGGCGUAAAGAGCUCGUACGGCGGUCUGUCGCGUCUGUCAUGAAAGCUGAGUGCUUAGCACUGAGCUUGCUGUCGAUACGGGCAUGACUAGAGUACGGCAGGUGAGACUGUAAUACCUGGCUGUAGCGGCUGAANUGCGUAGAUAUCAAGGAGGCAACACCCGGUGACGAUAGGCCUGGUCUCUGCGGCCGANACUGACGUCUGAGGAGCGAAAAGCAUUGGGGAGCGAACGCGAAUUUAAUACCCAUGUUAUUCA